rnacentral:tRNA from 1 species
CGUUCUAUGGCCGAACUGGUGAAGGCAUCGCCGAUCACCUUCGAUCACAGAUACACAAGACACAACCCAAUCACAAGCGAAGAUGCGGGUUCGAGUCCCGCUAGAACGG